rnacentral:lncRNA from 1 species
UUGCUUCAAUAAUUUUUAACUUUAGAUGACUGUGGAAACCUAUGAAGCUGGCAAUAAUGCAUGUGUCCAGUCUCCUGUAUCCCCUUCCCAGACUGUGGUAACUACAAUUCUAAUCGCUACUUGUAUAAGAUCAGCUUUUUAAGGUAACUUUUUCACUUAUUGUAAGAUCAUGUGGUGUUUGUCUUUCUGUGCCUGAUUUAUUUCACUUAAUGUACUGCAG